rnacentral:ncRNA from 1 species
AGCGUGCAACUGGCGGAUGAGAGUGGGUAAACCACGGGGAGCACGUUUUAGUAUGAGCCGGCCGCCUGGGCAUCUC